rnacentral:lncRNA from 1 species
CAGGGAAGACUGCAAAGGCCAGAGAUCAUUUUCACAACUAAAGGUCGUCAUCUGGGCAAAUGAACCACUCUGACUUGGAGAUUAGGGGCUCAGACAGCCGUGGAUGAGAGUCCAGCUCUACUACUUAUUAGCCUUGAUUAGCCCACAGUGACUUUCCAAAACUUUGACCCCUCUGCCAGGACCUUCUCGACAUCCACCUCUAAUUCUCAGAAGGAGACCUUACUUCCUACAUCUGUGAGAAAACUGAGGACUGCACAUGUGAACCACCUUAACCUUCUGCCCCACCCCCCCCCAUUCAUUCCUUGACUCAUUUAACAAAUAUUUUUUCAACACCUGUUAUGUAACAAGCUCUAUGCGAGGUGCUGGGGAUGAAAUAAAUAACAAACACGCUCUACAUUCAUGAGGCUUACUGUCUGGUGAUGGAUAAAGCUGUAUAAAGAUGACUAAUAAGAGGUCUAACUAUCUUCAUGCUGCAAAACAACCCAAACUACUGCAUGCUCCAGUUGACUGUCACUGCCGAGACCAGCUUCUGAGUAAUUUCAGCCCAGGCAUCAGACUAGUGAGGGAAGGAGCUUCCAGGUGAUACCACCUCCCAGCCAUGUAAGUCACCCCCAGCAGUUUGAGGAUUCUAAACUCAGGCCCUACGCAUUGUGGAGCAGAGUCUUCCUUGUUAUUCUUUCUCCAGAAACGCACUUUCCAACUUCCUUUGCCUGUCUAGAUCUUUCUUACUCCUUAAGCCUGUUUAGGCCUUUUCUUCUCCAGGAAGCAUUCCCUAAAUUCUUCAGUUGGGUUAAGUGGCCCUUCUCUGGGAUGCCUUAGCAUAGCUCUUCUUUAGUAUUAUCUAGGAAAUUACUUGUCUGUGUUCAUCCAUAAUUAUGUAUAUAUCCGAUCUGGCACAAAGACAUUUAGCAUAUGCUUACUAGCUGAACUGAAGAAAUGUGAACUGCACCGAGCUGGCCCCUAGGUAAACCAGCAAGCAGGAUUAAGUUUGUCUUUAGCGCCCUCUACCUUCUUCACAGCACCCUUCCAUGCCACCCUUCAAGCAUCCCUUGUCACAAUUCACUUUCAGUAUCACUAAGUGAUAACUAAAAACGACAUUAACUUACAGCUUGUCUUGUAAGCUCAUAGGGCAGAAGCCUUAAAGAGCAGUAUUUGGGUAAAUGGAUUUGCUAAAGUCUAAUCUUAGAACAUGAUCUUAUGCCAGUGAUUUGAGCUGAACUCCCUUCUCUGUAUUCUUGGCAAGGAAGGCAAGGGAGAGCAGAGCCUGGAGAAAGAAUCACACUGCAGCAUAGAUAAGUGACCAAGAGGACAGAACGAGGCGGGUGGAUUGCUUGAGCCCAGGAGUUCGAGACCAGCCUGGGCAACAUGGCCAAACUCUUUCUCUACAAAACAAAAAUUAGCCAGACAUGGUGGUGCAUGCCUGUAGUCUCAGCUACUCCAGAGGCUGAGGUGGGAGGAUGGCUUGAACCCAGAGGCUGAUGCUGCAGUGAGCUAUGGUCAUGCCACUGCACUCCAGCCUGGGCGACAGAGUGAGACCCUGUCUCAAAACAAAACAAAACAAAAACUGCUAGGGAGAGUGAGAGCCAGGGAAAAGUCAGGAUUCCGGGAAUAGGCAGGAAUAUGUCUCUUCCAUACCUGUCCCACCUUGGGUGUUCACUCCUAUUGUAACUUUAGUCACUGCAUUAGCACUUUGAGGGGUUAUUUGGUCAGGACACCGCUCCCCACCCCCACCCCAUGCCAACAAUUAUACUCUAAGACACCAUUCCUCUUACACAAUUUAUUUGACCAGAGGUGGACCCAACCUGGGUUAGAGUCUCACCUCUGGGAAUUUGGAAUUGUGAUAGCCUCCCCAUGUGGUCAGAGCUAUUUGUAACAGUAAAGCUGGAGAGUGGCCGGCCUGUACAACGUGGACUAGAGAGGCAGAGGUGAGGGACAGGAGCACUGACGGUGCUGCAGUCCUGGGCAUCAGACCCCUUCUGUCCGUCCCAGGUUCUGAUAAUCUCCCCAUACCUAGCAUCCUUAAAAUAAUCUUCCUUUUCCCUUUUUGACUUCUGGUCACUUGGAUUGCUGUUACUUGCAAUCAAAGAAUUCUAACACAGCUAUGGUUCUAAUUAAUUCUAACUAAUAGAGCUAAUACACUAAUAAUUCUACCUAGUACAGCUAUGUGUGCUGAGAUGCCCUGGGGCACUACGUUGCAUUGGCAGGGGUGCUUUGUUAUGUUUGUCUUUUAUUUGGUUCAAGUUAUUUUGUUGUCUUUGAACAGACUGUGAGAGGGAUGGGAAAGACUGGUGCUUGGGGUGGCCAUCUGACCCCUGAUGGACAGGAGACCAGGACAAGCCCACUGGAUGAGCCGGAGGGGUCCAGGAGGAGGGAGUUGAGAGCUCCUGCUAGGGUUGACACAUUCUGGUAAGGAGUUCAUCUGCUGUCCACCAGGUAGGUGGUGUGCAAAUACAACUAAGCAUUCAUGUUUAAGGUUUUUUUUUAAUUUUUUAUUUUUCGAGGCAGAGUCUCCAUUGCCCAGGCUGGAGUGCAAUGGCGCCAUCUCGGCUCACUACAACCCCUGCCUCCCAGAUUAAAGUGCUUAUCCUCCCUCAGCCUCCUGAGUAGCUGGAAUUACAGUCGUGCCUCCACGCCCAGCUAAUUUUUGUAUUUUUAGUAGAGACGGGGUUUCACCAUGUUGGCCAGGCUGGUCUCAAACUCCUGACCUCAGGUGAUUCACCCGCCUUGGCCUCCCAAAGUGCUGGGAUUACAGGCAUGAACCACUGCGCCCGGACUUAUGUUUAAGGUUAUUUAAAAAGCAAAGCAAAAUCCUAACCAUGUUGAAUUUUUGAAUCUGCAGCAGAUUCAAAUUAAUGAAUUUAAAUCAUAUAUCAGGUAAAAUACUACCUUGACAUAUUUUGUGAUCAUACUGAGAGAAAAUUAAUAUAAAGCUAAUUCAAAAUUUUUUAAUUUGUAAAUCAAAAGAUUAAACCUUGUUAAAAUUUACAAAGAAUAUGCCACUAUAAGAAGAAGUAGCUCAACUUUAUUUCAGUAAAAUCACCAACAAAACAAUAAAAAGCCAAAACUAAAAA